rnacentral:lncRNA from 1 species
UGCAAGUGUUAAUAUAGUCGACUGAUUUUUUAAACACACGAAACAAAUUGCACUUCAUACAUAGGGGUAAUGAAACAUCAUUCUUUUUUACACAAACUGAGUGCACUUCAAAAGAAAUCUCCAAAAAAUGCAAAACAUGGAUGGAGUGAACUACGUCGCGCAUCUUUUUCAUGAAAAAAAUGUACUGCACGCAUGCGCGGGGUGAGAGGCAGACUACACGCACAUCCAGUGGGACUACAAGCAGACUACACGCACAUCGAGUAAACUGCAUGGUGAGCCAUCGAGGUGAAUGCGAUUGAAGCAAACUUCAAAAUUUGUCAUAAUCCCGACGAUGUGAGCCUCACAGUACAGAAGUGCACUGCAUGGCGAGUCGAUGAUGGCCACAUGCGCUUGCUUUGUGGACUGCUCCAGGGAGACCUUGCGCUACUGAACCCAAGAGAGGAAGAAUGGGGGAGUGCACGGUUUCGCCAACGAAGGGGACGAAGUGAGCUGCAGUUCAAGAAAAAUAUUACCAUGCGUGAAGAAGUGAGCUGCAACUGUACAUGCACAAUACCGAAGUACACAUGCAUACAUACUUAACUGCACAACAAAGACCGGUGAAGCUCGUCUCCAACUUUGGUGUAGAUGUCGGCCGGCAGGCGUCCAGGAAUGCCAGGGAGGAGGUGAUUGCAUGCACGCUACGCUGGUACUGCAUGCAAGCCGUAUUGCACUGCACCUCGAGGGGUCGAACACAGCCGUUUUUGCUCUAAACUGCACCGCGGAGCAUGCACAUAAUUAGCAUUUUAUCACCCGGUCAAACUGCAAUUGAGGACAAGAAAUUUUUGUUAUAAUGAACUACAAUCCACAAGCACCACCAAAUUUGGGGUUUGCCGGACUGCCACCACCGCACUGAAUCUGCUCGACAAGGACUGCAGAAUCCAAAAUCUACAUAAGGGAGAGCAAAACAAACCUUUUUAUGAACUGCACACGGGUAGAUGCUGCUCUUCAAGAGCAUUGUUGCUGUGUCAUUGACCAAACCACGCCACAACUGGAAAUACUGCUCUUCCAGGGGCGUUUUCUACUGCAUUGAGACUUUAUGGAACUGCAUUAGAGACUUCAAGUGCACAGGCACCGAACCGCAUCAUGCGUGCGCCCGAGCUGAACCGCAUAACUCAUGCCGCCGUGUAGAUGGAGGCCGAGCGGGGUGGAGAUGAUAGGCACAGGGGGCGCUGCCGCACUACUCGCCUGCGGGCUGGAGCAUUGCAGGAAAAAGACGGGAAGGAGGUAGUGUUUUGGGGACGGUCGUGUGCUGGGAACGGCGACGGGCGGAGAUGGUGCGGGCCGGAGCCAGCGACGG